GUAGUUACUUUAUGAAAACACGUAUUUCACUAAAAAUAGCUCUCUAUUUUACAUGUAAUUAUUAUAAGUUUGUUUACUCUGAUAUCUGAUAAACUGUCAACGACAUGGUUAAAAAAGAAGAAGAAAACAGACAAACAAUAGUACACUAGACACAACAUAGAAAACUAAAGACUAAUCAACACGAACCCUAUCAAAAAUUUGGGAGACCGGAGGUGCUUCGAAAGGGUAAGCAGGUCCACAUGUGGAACCCGUCGUGUAAGAAAUAAAAGUAAUAUAGCUGUUGAAAACGAUUAUAACAUGUAUAAUGUCUGGUCCAAUAUGUGUUUUUAUCAUUGAGGAAAAGUGUAUAGUUUUAUAUAUUGAAUUAAUCUUGGAUGCAAUUGUACUUACCGACCAACAAAUUAUUUCCUGUAAUGAAGGUCUAUACAACUUUCUGCAGCAAAACUGCUCUUGGGAAAUGGGAAUUACUUUACGUUAUUUUCUCGGAAAACCGAUAUCUAAAAAUAGUAUUAUCUUACACACCUGAAG
rnacentral:lncRNA from 1 species